GGAUGUAUUCUUUAUUAUUGUAAUUUUGUGGAACAUGUACUAAUGACUUGUUUUCCUUCCUUGUCUGUUUUUCGAACAAGACGAAUUCUACUGCAAUUACGUCGAGUUGAAUAGCAAAGAUAACACGUGUACACCACGUCGUUAAACUUGACAUUGUUGGUCGGAAAGCCGAACUUGACGAUGGCCGUACCAUCACCUACGCCUUGUGCGUUAUUGCCACAGGUGGUAAACAAAUCUUUUCCAAUCCCUGAGCGGUGCCCUUAAAGAUGUCCACGAGCACGUCACGCUGUCCCGCAACAUCGAUGGCGCUAACACAUGCCGAGUUCUCUAAAUGUUUAACCAAUGGACAACCGAGAAGGUGAAAGCGGAAAGUGUUAAUGUGUUGCCCAAAACUUAUGUUGAGGCUGCAAUUUUGGAAGACGACGACGUCGCAUUGACCUUAUACGAUGGUCAAAAGAAUUCAUUUCUGCAGAUUUAAACUGACCAUGUUGUCUCUGUUGUCGGUUGGGACGGAAACACGAAUUUGGCUGUCGCUUCUGGUUUGGAAAUAGAUUCGAAUUUUGGUGGUUAUCGAGUCAAUACCGAUCUCGAAGCACGAUCGACCAUCUGGCUGUGCUUAAAACUUGACCAACAAUGACUGCUCUGAUGUUUGUUGUUAGAU